UGGUGUCACACACUGAGGCUCUCGGCAGCCGCAGGUGGCCCCUCAGGGCGCUGUGGCCGGGUAUUUGGCCUCCCCACAGCUUCCCUUGCCCUAUUCCUGCCUUGGCCAUCAGUGCUGGCCCAGCUGCACCACGGACUGUUUCUGUCACCGUGACAGCGUCAAUCCUGCCCUGCUCCACCUGGGCUCAGUGACAAGGCCAUUGUCCCUCGCUUGCCCCACUGCUCACCUGCCGUGUCCCUGCACAAGGCCCUGCCUGGGUCCCGCUCUCCUGGCCGGUGCAGUGUGCCUGCACCGUCUCAUUCGGGAUCAAACGGAGCCUACCACCUGCUUUUUCAGUGUUCAAACAAGCCACUUUAAGCUUUCUCAUGUGUUUCCAACUUGGCUGUGCCACGAGGAUCAGGAUUUAUGGCAGCGGGAGGCAGCUGGGGUGCCGCGGGCCCUGGCUCCGUCAGGCACGGCUGGAUCCCUGUGUCUGGAGCUGAGGCUUCCCCCCACCCCAAACCCACAGGAUAUUAAUUCCUCGGGCCAUUCGGAUCACCCAGAGCUUCCCCAUGGACUCCAGGAUUCGACACAGGGUGGGAAUCACCUGCCCCAGGUGCAAUUUCCUCCAUUGGUUUGGUGCAAACUGAGGGAGAAGAUGAUGGCACUUAAUUUUAUUUAUGGGGUCAGGUAUCUGCUAACAGCAGAGAAGUUUAAUCUCUAGGAUACAAAAACACUGCAGAAGCAAAUGCCCCAGUGCAUUUCAGUGCACACACUGGGUGAUUAAAGCCCAGACUGUAAUUUGCCACCUGAAAGCUGGAUAAAGCACAGGGAAAAAAGUCUGUGGCGUAGCUGAAUCCUCUUGUUCAUGCCCAACAGGAAGGUAAGGGCUUUACUGGAGCAUCCCGUGUGUGAUACCUCUGGGAGCUGCUGGAGCCAAACAAGACGGACACAACAAAUGCCUUCUGGAUAUAAUCGUUCCCAGGCACAGCAGAAGGGAAGGAAGACUUUUAUAAACAAUUAUCCAUGCAAGCUGCAAGAGUAGCAUUUGCAGUAGCUCUCCAGGGCCCUGAUAAUACUCCCUGAGACAUGCUGAGAUGGAUAGGAUUUAUAAACCGUGGAUGGGUAUUUCCUACAUUGCAUCUCUCCUGGCAGUAUUAUCCCAUGAAGCUCUCUGCAGAAGACAUAUAUGUUCAUGAAAACAUUUUAUAGCCCUGUUGUGCUGGGAUUAAUAUCAGAUACGCAAGUCCAGACCACGUGUACUUUGUUCUUCCCAACGCAUUUCCAAGUCUGCAAAUAGAAAAGAGUCCAAAGGAGCAGAUGAUUAUUAACUAAUAUUCUUGAAACUUCGUGCAAUUUUGGCAUUUCAUACACAGUUUUCUUAAUAAUUUACAGGCAUGCAUUUCUUCAAAAGCAGACUUAUGUGUGUGUCCAAAGACAAAGUGUCUCAAUCUAGAGAUGUUUAGACAGAAAUUAUAUUAUAAUUUCUUUAUGUAAAUAAUUAUAUUUCUUUGUGUACAAUUUGGGAACCACCCAGCACAACACAGCAUAGGGAACUUGCUGGACAGCUCAGCCUCGUCACUGGAGGGAAUUGGAGGAGAUGUGACAUUCAGGGCAGGUUAGAAACCCAUCUGCCCUUGUGGGCCCAGGCUGUGGGGAGGGAGUUGCCAACACAAGAUACCAGCCCCAGCUGUAACUGCUGGCACCAAGAGAGUCCGGGGUGUUUGGACUCUCAAUUUUGAGGCAACCACUCUGUGAUAACAGCCCGUUUUGUGGAAAAUGCCAGGAUUUUUAAAUUAGUAUUAUAUAUGAACCACCCAAGGUAGGGGGAUUUGAACUAGGUGAUCUUUAAGGUCCCUUCCAACCUGAACCUUUCUAAGGCUGUGGUGUCAGAAGUUUCCUUAGCAGAAAAAAGUCACUGAGUCAUCUUUCUGAGGCUCAUAUGGACCCAGCUGGAUUUACACCACUGUGGGAACGAGCAGGGCCAUCUCCAGAAAUCCAAUGCUCUCUCUGAGAGGAAGAGAAUGAGAGAAUGUUGCUGCCUGGCAAAAUUAUCCACGCACACAGAACUUCAUGUGGAGCAAGUUUCAGGAUGGGUUUAGCACAGGCAACCCUUCUCCCUUCAACGUGGACAUGAAAUCUCACACACCUUGAACAUUCCCCAUCACCUCCUGCUCUGAGCUCCACCACUGUGUGCCCAGAAUAUUCCACGGUCACCAGUGUGCUUGGAGCCUUUCUGUCUGCCCAUGGGAGCAUGUGGUACCUGCAGGGCAUUGGUAUUUGAGACAUCCCAGGAUGCAGGAGCUGCUCCUGUGCUGCCUGCAGCCCCCUUGCCAGUCAGGAGUGGUCAGAUGGGCACCAUGCAGGGACCCUUGUGCCAGGAGAACUGAACAUGUUGUGCUGAAGACCUUUUGUUUUACAUUAGGCUUAUAAUUUUAGGGCUAAUGUUUGGUUUGGAAGCUCGAAGCCGUGCCCGAGCCCACAGCUGCCAGCUCUAGAGCAGGCAGUGGUGUAAUAGCCAUUUAAUUCCCCUGUACUGUAAUCUGAUGGUGGGAUAUGCUCCCAGGCUGCUUUGAGGUCUGACUGGGGAACGAAAUCAAUCACAGAACACCCGUUACAACGAAAGCGCUGUUGGUGUCAAUUACCUAAACUCUGCGAACGUAACUCUUCUAAUUUCCUGUUAAAUCAGUAAUGUUACCAAUCUCAGUCUAUUAUUUUAAUUAGGACUGUGACUGCAGUUGCUAGGAGCCGAGCGAGCGCAGACAAAUGCGAAUGUGUAAUUAGUCCCACAAACGAGUGGCAAGUUGAAUGUGUCAACAUCCUGGACGGUUACAACACGGGGUGCAGCGGGAGGCCAGGCGAUUUGGGACGGAUCCUGAUCUCACUGGCCUCAGCGCCAGCCCAGCAGGCUCCGCAGAGGUCAGCAAUACCCCGGACAUCAGCUGGGCUCAGGGAAUCCAGAUCUGGCCCCUGGUCAUCGCAGCUUCUUGGAGCUUCACCCAGGGUUAUUUUUAAGAUGUCUGAUGUCCCACCUUCUUUGAUUGACUUUUUUUUUUCUUCUUGCUGUAACGCCUCCUCGGAGCCAAUUAUCCUGCAGUGAGCACUGCAGUCAGGUUAGCUGAACGUGGGUGUUCCCAGCGCCAGCCGGCAUCGGAUUCCAGCCCUCCCAGGGGACCGGAGCUCCUAGGGUGGGUAUGGAAGUGCUUGGCUCCUUCCUCUCCCUUCCUAGCUGUGAAAGAAACCUCUCAGCUUCUGUCACAUCUGACUGCCUCACGCAUCCCCAAAACAGCCGCGCUUUGACAAGGGAGGCAGGCGUUCCGACAGCAGAGCAGCGCUAGCUACCAACCUCACCAGAAAACACAAGCUGAGGACAGAACCCCUGGCUAAAUAUAGAGCCCAGCUGGGAGAGAAAACAAUGUGGCACUGCAGAUCCAUCAAAAUUAAGAAUGAAAAUGUGAAGGCGCUGCUCACUGACGACCCCCGGCUGCUCCCAGCGAGCGCCGUGUGCCCAGAGGUCCAGCCCGCCGCCAGUAUCCAGCAUGGAAUGGCACAGGAGGGAGAGCACUGCUUUUAUUAGCACUUGGCCAUCAGUCAGCAGUCCACACUCCACAAAUAAAUGAACGGGCUGGGUGCAUGUCAUCCCAGUUCACGUGUUACAGAAAUAACGCUGGACUGGAACCAGAGUUAACACAGCUGAGGUUUGGGAUGUGGCUGAUUUGGAGAGAGGGCAGAUGGCAGGGGCUCGCUGGGCUAUACCUGCUCUUGGAGGCAGACCUGAUUUACAGCUCCAUCCAUCUUCUACACUCUAAUUUCCCUGCUUUAGCAGGUCACUCUCCUGCUUCACAUGGUACUUCUUUCAGAACAAAUAGACUAGGAAGAAGUCAAGGGUUUGGUGUAUAUUGGAUGGACUGAUUUGGUCACCUUUCCAAGAAAAAAACAGUAUAGAAAUAGUAUGAAAAAAUUGAGCAAACCCCGAGGAUGUUGUGUGCAGGUUAUAGCCAGGGGACCUGAGGACCAGGCAGUGAUGCUGUGCCAGCAUGAGCACUGCAAUGCCUUCAGUCCUGGUACCUCAUCUGGGUCUGGCUGUGGCUUCAUGCAUCACUCAUGCCUUGUGUUGGAUUGGAUUUUUCGUCCUGUCUCGUGACAUUCAAACAGAGGUCAGGCCCUGUUACUUGCUGCAUUAAGCUUUGAGCCCAGUUCCCCAGUGAUGGAGCCUCUGCCAUCAAGAUCCCUGCCUGCAAGAGCUGCUGUGACCUUGCAGAAGGUGCCUGACCUGCCCUUGUUUUUUUCCUACUUACUUUCCUUUAGUCCUUCUGGAAGCAGCUUUAACCAAAGCCACAUUGCAUGUGUGUUUUAUAACAACAAUCCACUGUUACUCUCACUGGUGGGUUUUCCUGUCCCACCAUGUGUCCUUGCAGCAGAAAUGCCAGUAUCCCUCCCAGGACAGAGCCAAGGCUCACCAGUCCUGAUGGUUGGGUGCCUGCUCCAUCCCUGAGAGAGCCCUGGGCAGGGUGGCUGUCUCCUCUGAGUUGUUGCAGGUCAGUGCACUCAUCUGAAGAGCCCAGGGGCUGGCAGAGCUCCGUGCUGCCUCCACACCCUUUGAGAUGCCUGUUUUGUGCAGGAAACAGGGAGAAUUGCCAUCCUCACACCCUUGUGUCCUGAAGGCGUGGGAGUCACAGCUGGCGGGAUGCUGCAGCACCCCUCGUGCUCUGUGGGUCCUCACUGCAGCUUUCUGCAGGAAGGGAGGUAUAAACCACCUGUACCACCCCAGCUGCAGGCUGGCCAGGCAGGUUCCUCAUGCCACCACGCAGCCCUCUGAGGUGAGCCCCUUGAUUAAAGUCUGUGUGAUGUCACAGAUGUGCACAGAUACCCUUAGCCGUAGGAUUGUGCAACUGGCUGGUAAUGUGCAUGUUAAUAAGGCUAUUAAGGUUUACAAAUAUUCUGCUCUUCCUUACAGUUUAUAAUUUAAUUAAUUGCCAGUUAAUUGUCUUAUUUUCCCCCUGUGAUUGAUGUCGGUGAGUGGGAUUAGGCAGCAUCAGAUGACAGAGGAAGGAGGAAUGAAUGCAGCUUCCUAUGAUGGUGUGAGAGGAGAUGUUUUUAUGGACAAAUCCUUUCUGACAUGGAUGAAUACUUCAAUGAGAUAUCACAGAGUAUCAGCUCAAUACAUAUUGUAAUGGGAUCAUUAGUGGAGGUACCAGCUGUGUGAGGUUUGUAUUCACAAGCCACGAGUAAGUAACGUGGAAAUAUUGGCUCCUUGGAAAUGUUUGCCAAGCAUAAAUCUUUCCUGUUUUUACUGAGCUGGUGCUCAGUUUACAUAAACUGGGAAAUAAUUCUUUAAGGCUUGUGGGACUGCUCCAGCUACCCCUGAAGUCAGUCACGGCGGGGCAGCUUUGGUGAAGGAAGGGAAUCUAAAUGCAGCCCUGCUGGGCAAUAUUUUUCCAUAGGGAAAAAUUAAAGAGGAGGAUUUGAGGAGGGUCUCCCACCAGGGUGUGCAAGCCAGGCUGUGGUUCCAUCCCUAAAACAAAAGGCGUCUUUACUUGUGAGCAGGGAGGGGGGGAUGGCUGAGCAGACACGGCAUCUUCUUCUCUCCAGGAUUUUGAGUCUCUCACCAGGCUUGUUCGCACCCUGCCCACCCCCGAAUGCCUGUUUGAUGGACAGGUCUGUGCAUCACAGACGUGCUGGGAAUAUCAUCCUUCAGGAUCCCGUUGUGCCUGCAGACACAGGCAAUGUGCAGCCACGAGGGCCAAGUGGGUCACUGAGCUCAGGGUGAUUCUCAACCUGGAGAUGGUGCAGAAGGGACUUCAGGACUUUUGCCUUCCCCGAGUCUCUCUGGGUGACCCAAGGCAGCCAGCUCUGUGGGGGAAUGGCAUUCCUUUAGCUCCCAAGGCCUGCAGCAGAGCCAAGCAAGGGGAUCUGGGGUAAACAAAAACUCAGGCGACUUUUGACCAGACUUUGAUCGCAUUUCAGCAGAAUAAACCUGGAGUGAUUCCAGUGGCUUUGGUGUGAGUGGGAUCAGGCUAUGAAACUGGGCUGCAUGGCAGAAGGCUGAAUGUUCCUGCUGGGGUGGGUGUGCAGUGUGGUUGAACCCCUGCUCAAAUCGGCACAAACUAACGAGGUCAUUUCUGAGGCUGCAAUCAGAACACGGAGCCGGCCAAACCACAUCUGUCUCCUUUAAUUCAUUCCUUCCAUUUUGGGGACUUAGCCUUUAGGAGCAGCUAUCGGUGAUUACAUAAAAGAGAUUAGCCAACAGUUCUGCAUAAAUCAAGGCCAGUGCAAGAUGUGUCCUGAGUGCAUUGCGAAACCUGGGGCUGGUGGAGGACAAGUUCCUCCUCUCGGGGAGAGAGGCUCUGCAGCACGGGGCCGAGGGCAAAACCUUCCUGCCUCUCAAAAGGGCCCUUCAGACAAAACCCUCUCCAAGCAGAGAUGGGCACAGGGGGCAUGGUCUGCCCUGGGGUUGUCUGGUGUGGAUUUUUUCACCAAAGGAUAUUUUCUAUCCAAGGUACACGAUGGAAACAAUGAAAGAAAGGAAAGGGCUAGAGAACCUUAUUGUAAACCAGAUCCCCAUGUGUGAAUGCAAAUAAAUCUUGCUGCUGAAGGAAAAGCCAAACCAGAAUGUGUUACAUUUAGUCUUUUAGCACAGUUGCUAAGAAAAUAUCUUGAUUCGAACACUGUUGGAUGACUCAACAAAUCUUUUUUUUCUGGGUUUAUUUUUUUUUUCCAUUUUGAGGCAAUUUCAUCAUUUUCCCCCCUGUUUGUUUGUCUGUUAACAUGCAGGGUGAGGUUGUCCCAAGGUCAGGGAAUUGGAAUUUCCCUUCCAUUGUUGUCUUACUGCUCCUCUCCUUUUUUCUUGGUUUUUUUUGCUGCAGGUCACAGCAGAUCUAUGGUGAGGUUGGUGGGGGAAGGCUCAGCCCUUCUCUCCCACUCUAUCUGCCCUGGACAGUGCCAGUCCCUUGACAGGAGAGCACCUGGCUGGGCACUGUCCUUCCACCUCAUCAUCAAUGUGUCUGCAUCACAGCUUCCCUCCUGAGCUUUUAGGGAAAAAUUACCAAAAGCAGUCUUGAGGUUUUGAUGUCUUCAUUUUUGGGGAACUGAACAUGAGACGCAGCAGCUGAGUUUCAACAGAGCUGAACACCAGCAGCUCCCGUUACUGGCUGAGCACUCAUCACUGCUUGAAAUCAGGCUUGGAGUGUCUUUAAUGGUAUUUAUUUUUUAGAGAAGAAUUGUGCAUCAAACCUGAGCAAAACCUGGGAGAAAUCAAAGAAAAGGGGAUUUACACUCCCCUAGUAGGAAACUGAAACAAUGUGCAAUUUAAGAUCUGCCACUUAAAUGUAUGUUGGCUCCUCAUGAUGAAACCACCUACCCAAAGGCAUUUAGAAUUAUUUUUUAAAAAGCACAAAAAUGCUUAUUUCCUGUUGAAAUGUUCAGGAAACACAUGCCCAGGAAUAGAGCUGAAAAUGAAGCUGGUUAUCUUUCUUCAUCCUUUGAUCUCUAACAUCUUUCAAAAUCUGGCCUCCAAGUACUGUGCCUGAGGAUGCACGAAAUCAAGGGCUGAAUCUUUAUCUCCUCCACUCGAUCGUCUCUGCACUGCAAUUCACAGCACAGACACACUGCUCCUCAGGACUAGCCCUGGCUGAGGCAGUCAACAAGACUAAUCCCAGAAAUAAAGGUCAUGGAUGGGAAUUCAUAAAUGCCCUGCACAGGGGCUCUCCUUGUUUCCUCCCAUCCGGGUCGCAGCUGCAUUUGUCCUGUGAUUCUCCCAGAUGUGUGGUGAAUUUAAAGAUCUAUCCCAGUCCUUGACCUACAUGGAGGAGCACGGAGCCAGUCAUUUCUGAACCAACAGCCACAGAGAACCUGAGGCCUUUUCAUGCUGGAAAUAACCAUGGGGAGGAAGGAGAGUGCCUACAGACAGCAACUGCCUCUGUAGUGAAGGGAAGUCUGAAGUUUCCCCUCUGCUUUUUCGUGCAUAACAGCAUCUGUAUGCCUCAUUUCCAUCUUCACAGCUCCUGUAAUUUACAUAAUGAACAUUUGCAAAGCCUGAGAUCUGGGUUCACUUUGUACCACAUUUACUGUAGAUGACCUUCAGCAAAUCAUCAGAAAAGUUUCCCAGGCAAUUUUCCCAAAGGGUGUGAAUGUGAAACCCAAGAUCAUCAGGGAAGGAGGAAAGGGGAAUGAAAGCAGAUUUCUGAGAUAUCUGUCAUUCAAAGAUAUGUUUUCGCUUCUACAGCAGAACAAAAAUAUCUGAAUUUAAAAAGAAGGGAGUUUUGUCUUUGAAGCAGGUGUUGAUAUCAGGUCCCUCAAUAAAGUGACUUUAAUAGUCUGCAGAACGACUAUUUCCUUGAUAAAAAUGCAUUUGAAAAAAUAUUAAGCAGAGGGGGAAAAAAACUCUCAGAGAGACAAUUUUAUUUGCAUUCCUUCAUAAGCAAUGGCUGUAAAAUGAGUUUAUCCACUUUGGCCCCCUGAUCAGGUAAUGAAUCUGAAAAAAAAAGUCUGGUGACAAAUAACUGGCAAUCCAGCAAAGAUUCGGGACUGAGGAGGAAUUCUGACCUCAAAGGAUAGGAAUAGGACAUCAGGGUGAGAACAAGCAGCUGAAGACACUUAUGGCUCCUCUGGAGGUGUCAGCUGCAGCUCUGAUUGCACCUCCUGAUAGUGCUCCAGCAAUCACAAAGUGAUAAAGCAGGAACUGACCCAUUUUUGCUUCUGACACCCAUCCUCAAUGAACUGUCCUUUCCAGCCCCAAGUUCCUGCAGAGUUCAUCUGACAGAGUCCUGGGAAGCUGCAUCUCCAAGAUUAUAUUGAACUUUAUGUUGUAUUUACAUGGGGCAACAGGGAACACACUUUUAUAGGUGUUGGUUAGCUUCUAGUGUGGUCUGGCUCUUGGACUCCAGUCACUACCUUGGCCUGCAGGCAGAUAAUUGUAUAAUUAAGUAUUUGGAAGAUGGGCUGCAUGUUGCAAACUUUCCACCUUGGGUCCAAAAAGGAAAGGGGGUGGUUCUGAGGGUGGAGAGAAAUGCUGCUGUUUGAAGGCCCUGGGAGGGAGCUCUGGUGCUCAGUGCUGCUGUGCCAGGCACAGCAGACAGGGCUGGAAGAGGAGCAGGUCAGCUGAGGUGUCCAGCACCACAGAGCCAAGUGUGGGAUCUGUGCUGCUCCCCUAGGCAUUGUCCUAAAAGGGUUGAGUCUGCCAUAGUCACAGUUCAGGGCUGCUGGACCUUCCUUCUGGAUUGGGAGGGCUUUUGCUUGUAGCCUUAAAGAAAGACCAUGUGUUUUUUUAAGCACAUGCUGGAUUGUGAACAAAUGGUUAAUGUUGCUGCAAGGCAGCCAGGGAAGCUGGCUUAGGAAUGUUUCCUCUGUUCAGCCUGCCCUUUUUCUAUCUUUCUUUCCUUUUUUUUUUUUUUUUUAUGGUACCAUAUAGUGUUUAAUAAUUCAAUACAUACAUAAUCCAAAAUAAACACACUAAUUAACCUUUGUUUUGAGAAAUUUAAUUAGUUAAUGCUUAGUCUCUGUUCAGCUUCCAAACAGUUUGGAGUGGGAAAGGUGCCAUGGGGAAAGCAUGGCAAAAUAUGUUUAAUGCUGAGCACCUUCAAUUAUUUAAACAGUAACGUGGGCUGGACCAAUUAAAAAACAAAGUUGUUAUACAGGCAUAUACAUGCUGAAAUAUCUUGAUGUAGAGUUCCCAAACUCCAGCCUUGCUGCAGAAUAUGUGGUGAAAUAUAUCUCUGCAUAAAGCAACUGUAUGGAGGAGGGAAUCUGGUGGAUGAGGAGUGAUUCAGCUGCUUGCCAGGAACCCCAGAACUUCCCUUCUGGGCUCAGGGUGCAGCACGGGUAAGGGAAGUGCUAAAGCUGUUGUGGUGGUGACUGCCCAUCCUGGCUGGGGGAAGCUGGAGGACAAGUCCUGCCCUGUGUCCCAAAUAGAUGAUGAAUUUUUGGAAAGGUCAAAUGCUGUGCUCUGACUCACUAGUACAAGUCAUCCAUGGCCCAAGUGCCUUCCUUCAAAAUAUGUUACUGUAGGAUAAUAAUUUUAGCCAAAUCCUCAAGCUUUAAUAUUCUUCCCCAGAUGAACUGUAAAUAAAAUUAUUUCCUAAGAGCACUUAUUUGAGCUUGAUUAUUAAAUACAUUGCCAAAAUCUGGUCGUUUAAUAUACUGCCUGCUACUUGAGCUGAAGUAUCUGAAAGACAAAGAACGAAGUAAACGAAAAGGAAAUCAACAUUUUGCUAAAUUGCAUGUUUUUAAAAAUCCUAUAAUUGAGGCUGCUACUUCAUUUCCAUUUGUAAAACAGAUUGAGUUCCCCUUCCAUCUACUAAUGGAUCUGGUUUAUCUCUGAUACUAAUUGCAGCAUUUGCAUGGUUUGCACAGGCUGCCGGUGACAGGACGUUGGGUAGGGAAAGUCAAACAUCUCCUGCUGAGCUCUGGGCUGUCACUGAGGAGUGAUACUUGGCACGGAGCUCUGCUGAACUUCAAGCCCUUGUUCUUUCUCCUAUGGCUCCAAAGUCUGGGUCAAUCAACCAAAAUAAACUUGUUAAUUCGUUUUCAGGAUUCUGUGCCUCAGGUCUCACUUGAGAAGCAGUGGGAAGGCUCAGGUGAUAAUAAAGCAACACCAGACAGUCUGGAUGUUUAAUUAAA